rnacentral:rRNA from 1 species
AGUGAACGCUGGCGGCAGGCCUAACACAUGCAAGUCGAACGGCAGCACAGUAAGAGCUUGCUCUUACGGGUGGCGAGUGGCGGACGGGUGAGGAAUACAUCGGAAUCUACUUUUUCGUGGGGGAUAACGUAGGGAAACUUACGCUAAUACCGCAUACGACCUACGGGUGAAAGCAGGGGAUCUUCGGACCUUGCGCGAUUGAAUGAGACGAUGUCGGAUUAGCUAGUUGGCGGGGUAAAGGCCCACCAAGGCGACGAUCCGUAGCUGGUCUGAGAGGAUGAUCAGCCACACUGGAACUGAGACACGGUCCAGACUCCUACGGGAGGCAGCAGUGGGGAAUAUUGGACAAUGGGCGCAAGCCUGAUCCAGCCAUACCGCGUGAGUGAAGAAGGCCUUCGGGUUGUAAAGCCCUUUUAUUGGGAAAGAAAAGCAGCAGGUUAAUACCCCGCUGUUCUGACGGUACCUAAAGAAUAAGCACCGGCUAACUUCGUG